UGGCUCUUUGCUUGUGCAACAACUUCCACCUGACAUACCUUUUCAGUKGUCUGUUAAGGCUUAUAGUUGCCUAAACAAAUUGUCGGUUUCCUGUGUUGCCUACCUGACGUAUGGUAUUGUCUUGGCUGAUUCAAGUUCUUUUCAUCUUGUAUCAUACUUAUGACAUCAGAUGAACCUUAUAGCUGUCUCUUUGAACCACACCAUUAAUUUGUGUGUUGUUGUAGUGGUGCAUUGAGCAUUGCUUGGUUUCUUUAAUAUAGAACCUGAUUUGGGCAUUAUGUCCUCAUUUAGUGCUUAUGCUUCUCAAAAAUGACUGCUUUACCCGCAUUGGCUCGUACCAGCGUGUUGAGUUUUGUCAAAGAGGAAAGUUACCUGGUUGAUCCUGCCAGUAGUCAUAUGCUUGUCUCAAAGAUUAAGCCA
rnacentral:misc_RNA from 1 species